AGAGGUUGUCUCUAAUUCAGAGUAUGUGGAAGAACAACAUAGCAUCUGAUUUAACUUUCUUAUUUUCAGGGUAUAACAUAGAAGAGAAAAAAUGGCCGUUGUCCAUUUAGAAGGGAAGUUUGAGGUGAUCCUGGUAAGCCUCUUAGGGGGAGCCGCCCUCAGCAUAGCAGACUUAGUGCACACGGAGAGCUGUGCAGUCUUCCAGGGGAGUUGAAGCCCGCCCACCUCAGCAGUCCUGUCUCAUGCACACUGGCUUCCCCAGCCCAGGCCCCUCUCCCAGGAGGUCCUUCCCGAGACCUGUCCUUAUCACAGGGUGAAACCUGGAAGACAGUUAAUCCCCACUGUAAACAGUCCUUUCCCACCUAGCCUCACCUCCAUCUUCCUCUCCUUUGUGCUCAGUCUCUAAAACGGCGGGAACUCUGGUCCAGUGUUACAGACAGCCUUCUGUGAGUAUUUUUUAUUGGCAAGUGAAAACUGCAAGCAGUGCUUUGAUUCCUGCUCUGACCUUUUGAAAUGAUUUUCCUGACUCAGUGAAAUGGUUUGCAUAGAAUGAAGUACAGCUGUCCCUCAGGCAGCCUCAUUGCAUCCCUGGAGGACUCACCUGAUAAUAAAGUUGUCCAGGAAUAAGGAAACAGAUAAAUUCAUCAGGUACAGAAGACCAUGCAAAACUACUUCACCUGAGAGGGACCAGACCCAGAUGUUUAAAAACAUGUUUUUUCCAGGUACAGCCCCUAUUUCGUAACUCACAAACAAUUCAUUGUCACACACUGGGGGACAUCUAGACAGAAGUUGGCAAAUGAAUGUAUACGUCUAUUUUUGUAAUAAAGGUUUAUUGGUAUGUAGUUGA